CGCGUAGGAAUCUACCCAGUAGUUGGGGAUAGCCCGGAGAAAUCCGGAUUAAUACCGAAUAAUCUCUACGGAGGAAAGGGGCGUUUUAGCUCUCGCUACAGGAUGAGCCUGCGUUGGAUUAGCUAGUUGGCAAGGUAAAGGCUUACCAAGGCGACGAUCCAUAGCUGGUCUGAGAGGAUGAUCAGCCACGCUGGGACUGAGACACGGCCCAGACUCCUACGGGAGGCAGCAGUGGGGAAUAUUGGACAAUGGGGGCAACCCUGAUCCAGCCAUACCGCGUGUGUGAAGAAGGCCUCGGUU
rnacentral:rRNA from 1 species